rnacentral:rRNA from 1 species
UACGAAGGGUGCAAGCGUUACUCGGAAUUAUUGGGCGUAAAGGGUGCGUAGGCGGUUUGGUAAGUCUGAUGUGAAAUCUAUGGGCUCAACUCAUAGUCUGCAUCGGAAACUGCCGGGCUUGAGUAUGGGAGAGGAGACUGGAAUUUACGGUGUAGCGGUGAAAUGCGUAGAUAUCGUAAGGAAGACCAGUGGCGAAGGCGGGUCUCUGGACAGUUCCUGACGCUGAGGCACGAAGGUCAGGGGAGCAAACGGG